UCCCUCCCUCCCCUCUUCUUAGUGCUUACUUCAACCUAAACGAUUGUGUUCAUUAAAGUGCCUUUGAGAAAACUAGAAUACAGGUGCAACUUAGUAAUUAUUGCAAUGGUAGUAGUGUGAAGGUUUUGACUGAGUCUUUCACUGAUUUUGAUCAUUAUUAACAUACUCAAAGCCAAUACUCCAGUAAGCAAAUGAAUUGUCAUUAAAAUAGUCAAGGGAGGUAAGAUAUACCCUAUGUCCCUCCUUCUCACCUAGGCUAAGUCAAUUGGAAUCAUCUGAAAAUAAUUCUUCACUAAAAAUGUAAGGCAUUUACAAAAAAUGCUUUGCUAUAUAUAAAUAACUUAGUGGUAAGUAAAUUGCAGUUCAGCAGUAUUGAGAAACUUUUCCUGAAUUUUUGUAAUCUAAUCUUGAGCACCUAUAUUAUAGAUUUUAGACUUGGAUCAUUUUUAAAAGAAACGGAAUACUAGGAAACUCUAAAAACAUAUAGUUGUGGCUUUCCUAAAAGGAUAGAGAGAAUGUAUUUUCACUUGGAACAAUCAAGUGAUUUGGAGUAUGGAUGGGAAAUAAAUUAUGGCUGUCCGUGCGUUGGGGUAGCAUGGUACAACGUAACAACGGCAGGCUUUGAGUCAGUAGGGCUGAAUUCAGUCUGACUGCUUGUGCUAGUGAACCUCAGUUUCUUCUAUACAGUGGAGAUGACAAUAUCUUCCCCAGAGGUUACAGCGAGGCCCAAAUGCUAUUAUCUUCAUGAAAACUCCUGGGACAGCCCCUGACCUAUAGUAGAUUCUCACCAGUGCUGGCUGGCUUGGAAGGGACAGUUAGAGACUAGGUUUGAAAUCAUAGAGGGCUAUGUGGAGGUGCCCAGAUCCCUGGCCUAAAGGGGUGGGGGAACACACUGUGUCCACCCGAAGAGGUGGCUAUUUUAAUCCUUUCUUUCUUACCUCUGGAGUCUGGUUGGGUGUGAAAAUCAGUGGGCCCAGCAUAGGGAGCAGGGUUGGUGGAUGUGGGGGCAAGGGCUGAGAGUAGACAAAACAUGAGGUACUUGUGAGUCACCGCUUCAUGUUCCACCCAGGAAAGCCCCUCACGUGAAAUCUCAGACCCACCGCUGUUGACCCACUACUCCAGCAUCACUGUAUCUUUCUUCUCUUUCUCUUAGAUCAUUGUUGCCAAAAUGCCAUACCUCAUUUCUGAGCAUGCAUUGCUGUGACAGAGCUGUCCGAACCUAUAAACUCCACACUUUUGUGCACUUUGAGUGCUAACUUUUAUAGUUGUUUUUUCCUUCUAGACUAUGUACUAUUUCUUCUCACUACCAUACAUUUUCUUGCCUAAGGUAGUCUGUGGCCCUUCUUUAACUUUGCUAUUUCUGAUUUACUGUGAGACUGGACAUCUGAUCCCCACCCUUCAGAAUUACAUGGAAAACAAGCCUAAAUGGGGAUGAUGAAAUCCCAGGUGACUUUCUCAUGAGUCACAUGACUCAGCUUUAGUACCUGGAGUUUGUGCCAUAUUUUGGGUGCUUAGAGACCUCUUUCCAUUCCCCCUAGUUAGGAGCUGUUUUCUGGAAAGGUGACCAUUACUUAUUGCAGAGUUCUAGAUGAAAUAUUACUGUAUUGUCCUUAGUCCUGUUCUGGGAAUACAGGGGCAAUAUUCUGCUUGCUGGGCUCAUGCUGUUAAGUGGAGAGAGGCAGAUUCUGUGUUGCCUCGUUGUUCAGGACUCCCAGGGUUGAUAAGAGGCAUUCAGAAGAGCACGGCACAGACACUAACUUAUCUUGCCUCCUUGGCAAUUACUUGUGGAUGAAUAGGCAAGUCAAGUCCUCAUAAAGAAAGGUUAGGAGGAAGGUUAACAAAUAUAUUUUUGAGGUUGGAGACAUGAAUAAGCGGAAACUGUCAGAGGUUGAGAGGGAAAAGGAUGGGAAAAAAAGGAAUUCAGGAACGUUUUCACACAAGAGAGGAGAAAGGAAGCAGACAAAGGAACAUAUGGGGGAGGAAGCAGAGAAAGAAUUAAUGAAUGCUGGCAUGCUGACCCUCUGCUGUGGUGGGAGCAGCAGGUGGAGGAAGGUGUCCCCUGACUAAGACUGAUCGCUGAGCAGACACAGCCUAUAAGGUCCAGCUCCAGGAAGGUCUGUGGAGAGAGUGCAAUGUGAUUAAGAUGCAGUUCCUGCUAAACCUAGACCUGCCCAAGUGAAGAGGCAGUGAAAGGUGAGUCAACAGGAAACAUGAGCAACACUGUGUUGAGAGAAGAAAGUAAGGGAGUCAGAAGGUGGAAGAGUAGUUUCAAAUCCACUGUGCAGCUUGGCCUACUGGGCAGAGGGCAGGCGGUGGUGAAGAGUGAAGGAGAGUGAGUGCCCCUGGUGUCCUCUGGUGAGUCUAGAAAGCCAGGUCAUUGGGGCUUUGGGAUGAAGGCAUCGAAACAUUUCUAUGACCCGAAAGAGGCACAAAAAAGCACUGCAUUUUGGGCUGGAAGGGUCUUUAGGGGAAGAAUCCUGGUAAGACGUAUGGCAGAUCUUAUGUACUAAUCCUCACCAGUGGCAUUGCUCAUUGAUUUUGCCCCUUUGCCAAGUAGCACCCUAAGACUUGGGACCACCACCGCCUCUGGUCUGAGCCACCUUCAUCCGUCCCUUGCCUGGAUUACUUAACAGCUUCCUAGUUGGUCUUCCAGCUUCCAUCCUUAUCCUCAAAGUCUGUUUUCAGUAGAGUAAAUCAGAUUGAUCUGUUUUUUAAACUGUAAAUCAAAUCUUAGUUCUCUUGGCAUAACACCCUCUGAUGACUUCCCAUUUCACCCAGAGUAAAAAGCCAAAGAUCCUACAAGGAUUUACAAGACCUUACAUGAUCUGCCCCCUCCCUGGCCCUAUUCCUACUGUGACUUCACAUCCUAUGAUUCUUCUCUUAUUCAUUUUGCCCCUGUUCAAUGCCCCUCUUGAUAUUCCUAAAAUAUGCCAGAUGUGCUACCUUCCAAAUGUAUUUGCUCUGGUUGAUCCCUCUGCCUGGAAUGUUCUCCCCCUAAAUAUUUACAUGGAUAACUCUGUCACUUCCUUGGAAUCCUUGCUCAAAUGUCCUCUUCUCAGGAAGGCCUAUACUGAUCACGUUAUUUAAAAUUAUAACCCACAUACUCCCACUUCUGCAUCUCCUUCCCCUUUUAGUCCUACCUUUUUAUACUUUUCCUUUAUUUCUGUAACCCUUAUAAUUCUCUAAUGUACUGUUUACUCCAGCUAUUAGGUGUGCUGCUUAUAGUCCCCUCACUGGAGUGUGAGCUCCACAAGGGCUGGCAUUAAUAGAUUGCUCACCAAUGUACCCUGAGUGGCUCUACCAGCACCUUGUCACAUAGUAAAUACUCAUUUUUUGGACUGAAAGAAUGAAUAAAAAUGAGAAUCAACUAAAAAAGUUACUGGAGAAAGGCCACAGAAGAGAGUAUUCAGAGGAGCAUGUGUGUGGGGUAGCAGAGAAGGAAGCUUGGCAUACUUAAGCAUUAAAACUUUAACUAUGGUAACUAAGAUAAAUAAAAAGUUAAAUAUGGUACCGGAAAUGGAAAAUGAUGUGGAAGGGAUAAGACAGGAAUGGUAGGUGAAGGCUGUGACUAGGUGGGUCUCAUAGGUUUGUUAAGGAUUUUGCUUAAGGACCAAUAAAAAGGGGGACAACCAAUCAAGCUGCUGUUGCAGAAGACCAAGCAAGAGAUGAUGGUGACUUGGCUAGGAAGAUGUUGAUAGAUAGAUUCUAGAACUACGUGGAUAUGCCAGGAUAUAACAGUGGAUAAUGUUUGUAGGGGGAUAGUGAAACAAAGCAGAAGAUGACCAACCUGGCUCACAGGCUGGCUGGCUAGGUGGUAGUGUCAUUCGUUGUGAUGAGGAACAUUGGGAAAGAGUCAGGUUUGGGAGGAGAGGUCCUGAAGUCAAGUGCAAACAUGGUAAAUGUGAGAUGUUGUGAGUUGAAUUGUGUUCGCUCAAAUUUGUAUACAGAAGUCCUAAUUCUCACGGACAUUAUUUGGAAAUAAGUUUUUUUCCAGGCAUAAUUAGUUAAGAUGAAGCCAUACUGGAGCAGGGUGGGUCUCCAGUCUAAUAUGAAUGAUGUCCUUAUAAAAAGGGGAAAUUUGGAGACAGAGAAAAACAUGUGCAGAUGGAAAAUGAUGUGAAAAGAUGCAGGGAAAAGACCACUAUCUAUAAGCUAAGGAGAGAAGCUUGGACUGGAUCUUUCCCUCAUAGCCCUUGGGAGGAACAAAUCCUUCCGAAUCCUUGAUUUGGACUUCUAGCCUCCAGAGUUGUGAGGCAAUCAAUGGUUAUUUUUUUAGCCACCUAUUUUGUGGCACUUUUUUUUACGGCAGCUCUAACAAACUAAUACAUAUGCCUUUGGACCAUUUGAGUGGAGAGAUGUAAUAAGGAAAUAAAUGUACACAUCUGCAGCUCAGGGGAGAGCUCAGGCCUGGAAAUAUACCUUUGGAAGUCAUCUGAACAGAUGGUAAUUAAACUAGCCUCUUAUCCUGGGGUUGAACAGCAGGACGGCUAAGUCCCAUCCACCUUCUGCAGUGUCCACACCACCCUAUCCAUGGAAACUCACUUUUCCUUGCCAUCUGAAAUGGUAAAAAUAUAGUCCACCCAAUCCCCUCAUCCUGCUACCACUUCUUCUCUCAGCUCUGCCAUUUCAUUUCUGUUCCUGUCUCCAAAUUCCAACCAGAGUCCUGCAUCAUCUGACCAUCUUGUUUGGACUUUGUUAGCCUAUGGAUGUUUGAAGAUGCAGAGACCUUAGAAAGCCUUGAGUUAGUCCAGGAGGUCUGCUUUCAUCCAACAUAGAUAUGAAAAGAUCUUGAAGAGACGGGGGUGUUAACGUGAUGUCUUGGCCCCUGAAGUCCAAGCAGAGCUGGUGGGGGCAGGAUCAUUGACUGGCAGGGUGUUCCCCUGGGAGUCUAUUGUGAGUUGAAGCAUACCCAUGCCCCCAGACCCUGCCUUACACUGGAAGCUGCUGAUAACCAGGUCCUAGAGUAGAAGUCUAGUUCUUUGACCCUUUCCCAGAAUCUACAGUCACUGAAAGAAAAGAAAUAGGAAAAAGCAUUUGUUGAACUAUUUGAAAGCAGCUCUAUUUGCAAACUAAAUAAGAACAACAGAACCAUGUGUUGUUUGACACCACUGCUGCACCUUAACCUGGUGAGACUGUUGGUUGCUAACUCCAGGCAGUGAAGAAGCAGGUUUCUCCUGGGCAUGAUCAGUGUGCGAAGGAUAUUUUUCCGGGGGAGUUGAGAUCUCUCUUUCUCACUCACUUUCUCUUUGUAAGCUUUCCCCUGUGAUUAUAAUUUUGCAACAGGGUGGUCAGAGGGCCCUAUCGCUGGGCAAUAUCUGCAGGGCCAGAUUGCAGCCUCAAUUUGCCACAUGACAAUGAGGGGUGGCCUGUCUGCAAAAAUAGCAAGGUUUGCUUCAGAGCGUUUUCUAGAAUUUUCAGGGGCUAUUUCACCUACUUCGUACCAACUGUCUAUGGCUUUCUGAUCUGAAGAGAAAUUCUAUUCCGUUUUAGCAUUCUAAAUCCCAAAUAAAAUCCAAGAAGUGUAGUUAUACAUAGACAAAACAGUCUGAGCUAGGAGGGGAAUAAAUAGGUUUUUGCUCCUCCAAAUGUAGUCUUGAUUAGCAUCUCCUUUAAUUAUGGUUUAGAACAUGCUAGACUUUCUAUUCCUUGUCUUGGACUUUCCUCCCUUGCAAAAGAUUAAUCUCACAUGUCUUCUUUGUGUUCCUUUUAAAAACCAUCUAGCUGUCCCUUCCUCUCUCUCCAAUUGCCAGUCCUUUCAUGGGUAGAACUUUCAACAAGCCUGAAGGCUGACUGGGAAACUCUGACAUCUCGUUCCUCCGUGCUUCAGUGGCUGUUAAAUUGAUAGUUUCAGAGUGGAUAUCAAGCUAUCCACUCUAUCAAUGUUUUUUUAAAAAAGGGAAAAAGAUUACAGUCUGUCUAAAUCAAUGUGACACCUCUCUGACAUGUGUGUCUUGAUCGCUUUCUCCCAACAUAUCCAUUCCUUUUGACCAGCUCCAUUUCUCAGUGGCUAUCUAAGUUAAAUAGGGCUUGUCAUUUCAUGAAAAUUACUCUCCAUUUUGCCUAGGUUUCUCUUAAUUUUGUGUCCUUCUGUAUUUAUCUCAGGGCCAAGGAUUCACCAUGGGCCUUCCUUCUAACCGACAUGGGUUGGAAUUUCACAAGGCAGACGGAGUCUUGGUUUUGCUUCUCAGUAGAAUUUCUAUUUGUGGCACAUGCAUCUCCUUCUCUGCCGAAUUCCCAAGCAACAGUUCUCAGGGAGGGCAGCUGCUGCUCUGAGCCUCUUUAGAUUUUUUUCUUUCAUUUUCUCUUCACAUAUUGAACCCAUUCUGUCUUGAAAAGUUCUCAGUCUCCACUGGCCGGGGGAAGGUGGAACAUAUCACAAGUUGGCAGAGUUGCAGUGCUCUGUGCUCUGAACUUGUAAAAUUCUUUUUAAAAGCCUAAAUCUUUAAAGGAAAAAAAAGAAGCUUCUGGUACACUUAGACAAUUCGAUAACAGGGAUGACCUGAGUUUAAUGAUAAGGGUUAAUGCUGUCAUGUCAGUUCUUGGGCCUAACUUACAGGGAAAUUUUAGCUUUUGUCCAAGUUCUCUGAUUUUAAAUGUCUUUCAAGGUAAUCUUUU
rnacentral:lncRNA from 1 species